AAGUCAUAACAAGGUUUCUGUAGGUGAACCUGCAGAAGGAUCAUUAUUGAAUUUGUUAAAAUGGGGGAGAGUUUGACUCUCCUCUACAUUCUUUAUUCCCUAACACCUGUGAAUCGUUGCUGAGUUUUGCUCAGUGGCAACAUUUUUUUAUACACACAUUAAUAGUUUAAGAAACGUUAAAAAUUAUAAUAAUAAAAUACAA
rnacentral:misc_RNA from 1 species